rnacentral:misc_RNA from 1 species
UCCGAGUUGACCCCGGCAGUCUCCUACGAGUCCCCGGCAUAACCCGCUGGCAACAUGGAACGAGGGUUGCGCUCGUUGCGGGACUUAACCCAACAUCUCACGACACGAGCUGACGACAGCCAUGCACCACCUGCACACCAACCACAAGGGAACCGACAUCUCUGCCAGCGUCUGGCGCAUGUCAAGCCCAGGUAAGGUGGGGAUGACGUUCCCUUCCAUCACA